rnacentral:rRNA from 1 species
UACGGAGGGUGCAAGCGUUAUCCGGAUUUACUGGGUUUAAAGGGUGCGUAGGUGGGUCUGUAAGUCAGUGGUGAAAUCUCCGAGCUUAACUCGGAAACUGCCAUUGAUACUAUAGAUCUUGAAUAUCCUGGAGGUGAGCGGAAUAUGUCAUGUAGCGGUGAAAUGCUUAGAUAUGACAUAGAACACCAAUUGCGAAGGCAGCUCACUACGGGACAAUUGACACUGAGGCACGAAAGCGUGGGGAUCAAACAGG